rnacentral:tRNA from 1 species
UUUUUGAAAGCAGUUUUGCAUUAGAUUGUAAAUCUACUUUAGGAAAAUAAUUUUCCUCAAAAAA